GGACCCGCACAAGCGGUGGAGUAUGUGGUUUAAUUCGAUGCAACACGAAGAACCUUACCAGGGUUUGAAAUCAUUUCAAAACUCCUUGAAAGAGGAGCCUCCUUCGGGAUGAAAUGACAGGUGGUGCAUGGCUGUCGUCAGCUCGUGUUGUGAAAUGUCGAGUUAAGUCUCGUAACGAGCGCAACCCAUGUCUCUUGUUGCUCACUGAGUGCUUAAGAGAGACUGCCGACCAACAUCGGAGGAAGGUGUGGAUGAUGUCAAGUCAGAUGCCUUCAUACUCCUGGGCCUACACACGUACUACAAUGGUAGGGACAUGAGCUGCGAUCCUGCGAAGGCUAGCC
rnacentral:rRNA from 1 species